ACACACGAAUUGAAAAAAAAUGAAGUACAACUGUUUUAACUUAUCAUUGCUGUUUCUCUUUGCACUUGUUCUGAUUUCUUCGGCUCGAAAGAUUCCUUCAGCUCAAACUCAUAAUUCAAAAGUUGUUGAAAUCCAAAAAGGAUAUCAUGUUGAUGGCACGAUUGGUGGUUGGGGUCCGUGGAUAAAUAAUGGUUAUCCCAAACAUAAGGUUGAUGAACUCAGGGUCAAUGGAAGAGGAGGAGGCGGCGGCGGCAACUAAAAGUGAGGCAGUUCGAUCAUGUAACCAGACAUCGUUGUACUUUGUUACCAAAAAAUAAUAUAUAUGAGCAAGUUUAUGUUGAUUUUACCUGCA